ACAUCAAUUCAACAGCUGCCGAAGAACAAGAACAAGCCGCUACCAAGAACUUCUGGAGCGUUUAAACUCCAUUUCAUUCGGUAAAGCAUGUUUCUAGGAGGAAGGAUUUGGUUUUUAAAACCACCGCGCAUGACACGUCAUGGCGGGCGUGUGACGUCAGACGCGCAAAAAGUGACACACUAUUCAAAAAGUGAUUUAGUGUGAAGCGGCGGGCUUGUAUUUUUGAAUAAUAUGCCCUAAAUGAAUGUGGGUUAGAAGAUCGAAGACGGCGGGUCGACCUGGUCCAGAUUGAGGAUUUACCGAAAAAGACAUUUGUUUUUGCUCCGAGACCGGGUUGAGCUGUCUGUCUUCACACACGGCACUUGCUGUGGAUAGACGGGUCUUCAUGAAGUCUUCUCAAAGUAAGGGGCGUUUUUAUUAUGGGAUGCUGCCAUGCUCCCAUGCUUUCUUGCUCUUGGCCGCCGUGCCUGCAUGUAUGGCUGCCAUGCCAGUACAUGUAUGCUUUGAUAGCUGUGCCAGCAUGUGUUAUGGUCGCUGUACCAAUUCUUUUUUGAUCAUACCAUUCGUUCAAA